UACGUAGGUGGCUAGCGUUGUCCGGAUUUACUAGGCGUAAAGAGCGCGCAGGCGGUCGUUCAAGUCGAGUGUGAAAGCCCCGGGCUCAACCUGGGAAUUGCAUUUGAGACUGAGUAGCUAGGGUGCGGAAGAGGGAAGCGGAAUUUCCGGUGUAGCGGUGAAAUGCGUAGAUAUCGGAAGGAACACCAGUGGCGAAAGCGGCUUCCUGGUCCAGCACCGACGUUCAGGCACGAAAGCGUGGGGAGCAAACAGG
rnacentral:rRNA from 1 species